AUUGAACGCUGGCGGCAGGCCUAACACAUGCAAGUCGAACGCGUCGCGGACGGGUGAAAUAUGUCUGGGACACUCCCUGAUGGAGGGGGAAAUCUUCUGAAAAGGGUCGCUAAUACCACAUAACAUCAUAUGCGCCCAGAUGGGAUUCGCUAGUAGGUGGGGUAACGGCUAACCUAGGCGACGCUCCAUCGCUGGUCUGAGAGGAUGACCAGCCACACUGGAACUGAGACACGGUCCAGACUCCUACGGGAGGCAGCAGUGGGGAAUAUUGCACAAUGGGCGCAAGCCUGAUGCAGCCAUGCCGCGUGUAUGAAGAAGGCCUUCGGGUUGUAAAGUACUUUCAGCGGGGAGGCGUUACCCGCAGAAGAAGCACCGGCUAACUCCGUGCCAGCAGCCGCGGUAAUAC
rnacentral:rRNA from 1 species